rnacentral:rRNA from 1 species
AGUGAACGCUGGCGGCAGGCCUAACACAUGCAAGUCGAGCGGCAGCGGGUUCUUCGGGAUGCCGGCGAGCGGCGGACGGGUGAGGAAUUCAUCGGAAUCUGCCCUGUCGUUGGGGAUAACCUAGUGAAACUUAGGCUAUUACCCUAUUCGACCUACCGUUGAAAGCGGGGGAUCGCAAGACCUCGCGCCACUGGCCGAUCUGAUGUCGGAUUAGCUAGUUGGCUGGGUAAAGGGCCACCAAGGCGACGAUCCGUAGCUUGUUUGAGAGGAUGAUCAGCCAAACUGGAACUAAGAAACGGCCAAGACUCCUAGGGGAGGCAGAAGUGGGGAAUAUUGGACAAUGGGCGCAAGCCUGAUCAAGCAAUGCCGCGUGGGUGAAGAAGGCCUUCGGGUUGUAAAGCCCUUUUGUAGGGGAAGAAAUCGGCUGGGCUAAUACCCCGGGCGGAUGACGGUACCGAAAGAAUAAGCACCGGCUAACUUCGUG